rnacentral:lncRNA from 1 species
UUUUUCUUUUCUUUUUUUUUUUUUUGUACCAGGCAGUUUAAAAAAAAAAAAAACACCCCAAAAAAAGAAAACACAAAAAAAACCCCAAACAACCAAACAAAAAAACGUUUUGCUGUGUCCUUUCUGACCAGUCAGCACGUUCCCCCUCAAAUAUUUUUUUUUUGUUUGUUUGUUUCCUGAAACGCGAGAAUUCAGCAGUAUCUUUGGCAACACUUUAUCACGACCUUAAUUUAAAGAAUAAAAAUAAAAUCGAUUCACGUCUAUAUACAGUAUGUGAUUGCGCAGAGUUGGGGGGCUGGGGUCCCGGCGCUGGGCCCAUGCAGACGCUGCGGCCCCUAGGUCGGGCUGGCGGGCAGCAGGAGAGGGGUUAAGGCGGAGUGGGUGGGCAGGGCUGUCAGAAGCUGAGCUCAGAGCUAGGGGCAGGGGUUUAGUGCAAUUCCCGAGGAAGUCUGUGUUAAAAGUGUGCUCGGCGGGGGGGUUCAGCCCUUCCCCCGCCAUAGUCCCAGAGGCCUCGAUCCCCCAAUCCAGUCGCCCCCACUGGCCAGGACGACAGCUGUGAUUUUUCAGUUGGUUUUAUUGCGAGGGGGGUGUAUGGGGUAGGGCAGGGGGAGAGGGCCGCGCCCUCAGGGAACCUCUUGGCCGGGGUGGGGGCGGGGGUCCCUGGCCUGGGCGCUUGAGCUCCCUGCUUGGCCUCCACAGAUGGUUCUCCGAAAGAGCGAGGCCACCCGGCCCUGGGCUCCCCUGCCACCCCCCUCAGGAGGGGGGGUCCUGAGACAUUUGGGGGGCUGAUGGGCCCGGGGGGUGGGGUGGGGCACGAAAACUAUCCUGUAGAAACAAUGAUGAAAGUUGCCUUCUUAAAAAGCUUCCCUUUAAAAAAAAAAAAAAGAAAGAAAGAAAAGACGAGAAGACGGGGUCUGUCACAGAGCCAAGGGGUGCGGGGAGAUGGACCAGCAGCUGGAGGGGGGGCAGGGGCACCCCUCACCUUGGGCUUUGAUGGGGGAGGGUCUCGGCUUGGCAGAGCGUCUAUUUACAGGGUCCCACGCUAGGCAUUGCAUAUGCGAGAGGGCGUCGGGGUGAGGGUGCCCUGGCCUCUGGCGACACGGUCCCCCCAGCCCUGGCCCCCGUCCGUGGCCUGUGGCUCGGUCGAUACCGGGCCUUUUGGGGGGCCAGAGGCUGGGGGAGGCGGGUGCCGGCCCCCAGAUUACAGUCAGUGCCUUUGAAUAAAAAGAGGGGUGCCUGGGGGAUGUAAGGCCCUGGAGGUGGGGCCCCGUCACCCACCUCGACGGGGAUGGCAUGUCCUAGAUGGCGGCUCCUUGGCGGCCACGGCGGCGGGGGCGGGGGGGGCAGCCAUGCUGAGGGGGAGCCCCAAAGUGGGGGGGUUGCUCCGGCUGGUCGGAAGGCCAGCCCUCUCUCGGUCCGUCCCUGAGCUGGGGAGUCAGUAAGGAGGGUCCCCGCGGACACGGGCGGCCAUCGUAUGGCUGGCGGGUGAUGAGACUUCUCCGAAUCAGAACCAAAAAGGGGACGGGGUGGGGGUGGGGGGGGGACACGGCAGAAACACAAAAACCCCGCGGUCCUGCCUGCAAGGCAAGCCCCCCGCGGCGAAGCCCCGAGAGAGGAGCCCGUGCCUUCCUGACCCCGCCUCACCUCGGGGAACAGAAGUGGAUUCUGCAUCUGUGGUGGGUUUUUUUUUUUAUUAUUUUGUACAAAAAUAAAUUGACUUUUAGGAAUUUGCUCUCUCGCUCGCUCGCUCUCUCUCGCUCGCUCUCUCUCUUUUAUUUUUGUUUUUUUUUUUGUCUUUUCGACUUUUCAUAGAAGUUGGUUGCAACUUGUAAACAUGUUUUUAAAUUAAGAAUUAAGAUAAAGUGUAGUACCCGUUCUGUUACAAAGUGCCAAGACUUCUAUUUGUGGUUGGUUGUCUUUUUUUUUUCCUUUUUUUUUUGUUUGUUUUUUGUUUUUUUUUGUUUUUUCCUUUCGUUU